rnacentral:rRNA from 1 species
AGCGAACGUUUGCGGCGGGCCUAACACAUGCAAGUCGAACGAGAAUCCCUUCGGGGAGGACAGUGGCGCACGGGUGCGUAACACGUGGAUAAUCAACCUUUCAGUCUGGGACAACCCGGGGAAACUCGGGCUAAUACCGGAUGUGUCGUGCGGUUCUUUGGAGCUGCUCGGGAAAGACCCGCAAGGGUUGCUGAAAGACGAGUCCGCGGCCCAUCAUGGUAGUUGGUGAGGUAAUGGCUCACCAAGCCUAAGACGGGUAGCUGGUCUGAGAGGAUGAUCAGCCACACUGGAACUGAGACACGGUCCAGACUCCUGCGGGAGGCAGCAGUGGGGAAUAUUGCGCAAUGGGCGAAAGCCUGACGCAGCCACGCCGCGUGUGCGAUGAAGGUCUUCGGAUCGUAAAGCACUGUGGAGGGAGAAGAAUAAAGUCGGUGAAGAGCCGGCCCUGACGGUAUCCCUUUAGCAAGCACCGGCUAACUCCGUGCCAGCAGCCGC